GACAGGGGGCUCGAGCGUUAAUCGGAAUCAUUGGGCUUAAAGGGUGCGUAGGCGGGUUGCUAAGUGUUCUGUGAAAUCCCCCGGCUCAACCGGGGAAUCGCAGGGCAUACUGGCAGCCUUGAGGCAUGUAGGGGCGGACGGAACUGUAGGUGGAGCGGUGAAAUGCGUAGAUAUCGGGAGGAACACCAGUGGCGAAGGCGGCUUCCUGGACCAGCACUGACGCUGAUGCGCGAAAGCUAGGGGAGCAAACAGG
rnacentral:rRNA from 1 species